UGCAAGGCAGGCAUCAGCUGCUGUGGCCCUUGCUGUCUUGCUCUGGUCUCCCUCUCGCGCCCUCUGCAGCAGCAGGUGGCAUCUGUCAGGCAGAACCCAGAAGGCACAGCUGGCCAGGCUCUCUCAGCUGGGAUCUCAGAUUCUGCAAAUGCGUCAAGAACAAACAAACACACGAAAAUCAAUGCAAACUAGACAAAGACAUUUCUGGGCUGAAAAGUAAAGAUGGCAGGAGGCUUUCUUGCAUUUUGGGAUCUGUGAAGAUAGUAUGUCCGAUGUGAUUGCAGGAUUGAAGCCAGCAUCUUCACUGGAAGAGCAAAUGAGAUGCUCUUGAGCCCAUGGAACAGCUAGUUGAGAAGUGCAACAUGGCAGAUGCAUGACCCUGGGCAAAUUACUUUAUCACUCUGAACCUAAGUGACUUCAUCAGUAAAAUAGGAACAUUCUUAUAAUCCACACAUCCAGGACUCAUCAAGCAAUGGUGAAGAGAUCUUGACAGCUGCAAGACUUCACUGACAAGGCAUUAGGGCCUCAGCCCCAACAGAAUCUUCCCCAACUUGGAGGAAUCCUCAGAUUGGGAGUGUCCUCUAUAGCCUCAUAAAUAAGCAUAGAUGUG
rnacentral:lncRNA from 1 species